GUAUGCAUUCUUGACUGUUAGCUGUAGCGCCUUACUUGCUGCAGUCCUGUAUGCAUUCUU
ensembl:miRNA gmo-mir-11932 gmo-mir-11932